rnacentral:rRNA from 1 species
CCAGCUGAUCCUACUGGCGGGAACUGCUAUCGAAAUUCGAUUAGACAUGCAAGUCGCACAUCUACGGUAAGUGGGUGUGGCGUACGGCUCAGUAACACGUAGCUAAUCUACCCUCAAGAAGGGCAAAUCCCGGGAAACUGGGUAUAAUACCAUAUAAAUGACACGUACUGGAAUGUUGUGUCAUUGAAACGAAACCAGCUAUAUUCCGCUGGUCUUCGCUUGAGGAUGAGGCUGCGGCGCAUUAGGUAGUUGGCGGGGUAACUGCCCACCAAGCCGAUGAUGCGUACGGGCCCUGAAAGGGGGCGCCCGGAGAGGGGAACUGAGAUAAGGUCCCCAGCCCUACGGGGUGCAGCAGUUUCGAAGUCUUUACACUGCGCGCAAGCGCGAUAGGGGAAUUUCGAGUGGCCACACUGUGGUCUUUUGCUAAGCCUAAAAAGCUUGGCGAAUAAAGGGGGGGUAACAUACGUGCCAGCCGCCGCGGUAAUACGUAGUCCCUAAGUGGUUUCCACUUGUAUUGGGCCUAAAACACCUGUAGCUGGUUUAGUAAGUCUUUGGUGAAAUCAAUUCGCUCAACGAAUUGAAUUGCUAAAGAUACUGCUUUGCUUGGGGAAGAGAGACGUGAAGGGAAUUUUUAGGGUAGCGGUGAAAUGCGAUGAUCCUAAAAAGACCUCCAGUAGCGAAGGCGCUUCACGAGAACUAUCCCGACAGUGAGAGAUGAAAGCUGGGGGAGCGACCAGGAUUAGAUACCCUGUUAGUCCCAGCUGUAAACGAUGUAGACUAGGUGUUCGCUUUCCUUCAUGGACUGCGAGUGCCGACGCGAAGGCAAUAAGUCUACUGCCUGGGGAGUACGCCCGCAAGGGUGAAACUCAAUGGAAUUGGCGGGGGCUCACUACAAGGGGUGGAUGUUGCGGUUUAAUUGGAUGCAACGCCAGAAAAUCUUACCAGGGAAGACAGCAGAGUGAUUUACAGUCUGAAGGGCUUUAAUGACGCGCUGAGAGGUCCUGUAUGGCCACCGCCAGCUCGUACCGCGAGGCUUCCUGUUAACUCAGGCAACGGGCGAGACCAAUACUCAUAGUUGCUACCGUGGUUUUGACUGCGGGCACUCUAUGGGGACUGCUAUAGUAAUAUAGAGGAAGGGGUUGUCAACGGUAGGUCUGUAUGAGCCGAAUUUCCUGGGCAACACGCGACACACAAUGGAUAGUACAAUUGGAUGCUAACCCGAAAGGGGGCGCUAAUCCCCGAAAAUUAUCCUCAGUUCGGAUCGAGGGCUGUAACCCGCCCUCGUGAAGUUGGAAUCCCCAGUAAUCGCGCGUCAUUAACACGCGGUGAAUUAGUCCCUGAGCCUUGCACACACCGCCCAUCAAGCCAGCCGAUUGGAGUCUGGAUGAGUACAGGCCGUUAGGCUUGUCCGAUUCUUGGUUUCGAGAGGGGGGCUAAGUUGUAACAAGGUG